UGCCCAGCAACUCCUAUCCCUACCUCCUCGUGGUACUGGCCGGGGUACGAGUAACCUUGGGGAAGAUAGGGUAACCAACCCCCGGUGGGAACUUUGGUCGUAUGCUGACAGGGAGGG
rfam:Aedes aegypti strain Liverpool supercont1.164 genomic scaffold, whole genome shotgun sequence.